rnacentral:lncRNA from 1 species
GGGCUGGCGUUUGGUCAUCUGAUGGAGGUUUCUCUGCUGGCUUAGCUGUGGGAUGAUAUGGCCAAAUCAUAUGGGGGUACUUUGGAAAUUGAGGCUUCUGGGUUGGUGCAUGGGUAUCUGUAGUAGGAUCCUCUGCUGACUCAGCUGUGGGAUAACCCUUGCCAGGAUAAUGGGAAUAGGGAUAUGGCCACAUCAUAUGGGGGUGCUUUGGAAAUUGAGGGUUCUGGUUUGGUGCUUGGACAUCGCUAGAAUGUUCCUCCGCCGGCCCAGCUGUGGGAUAACCCUUUCCAGUAUAAUGGGAAUAGGGAUAUGGCCACAUCAUAUGGGGGUGCUUUGGAAAUUGAGGGUUCUGGUUUGGUGCUUGGACAUCGCUAGAAUGUUCCUCCGCCGGCCCAGCUGUGGGAUAACCCUUGCCAGGAUAAUGGUAACGAGGGUAGUAGUAAGGCCAAAACUCUUGUGGAAACACUUGAGGGUACCCAUAAGGUAGAGGUUUGAGUGUUGCAGAUAGUUCUGUCAUAGUUAUUGUAGUAACUUUAUCAGAAAAAAGGGGAGGCAGCAGAAUCUGUUGAUAUGAAAGAGAAUGAGGUCCUAUGAAGGUUUCGUUUGCAGUUGUAGAGGUCAUAGGACAAGAAAUGACUGCACCGUUUCCCUGCCACUGCAUCUGCAUUACAUAACUCCCGCCCUGAAAGACAACAUGAACAAUACAGGUUGGUCUUCCUUACGCUGUGCUCAUAAUGCACUGAAU